CCAGACUCCUACGGGAGGCAGCAGUGAGGAAUAUUGGUCAAUGGGCUUACGCCUGAACCAGCCAAGUCGCGUGAGGGAAGACUGCCCUAUGGGUUGUAAACCUCUUUUGUCGGGGAGCAAAGCGAGUCACGUGUGACUCAUUGAGAGUACCCGAAGAAAAAGCAUCGGCUAACUCCGUGCCAGCAGCCGCGGUAAUACGGAGGAUGCGAGCGUUAUCCGGAUUUAUUGGGUUUAAAGGGUGCGCAGGCGGAGGUGCAAGUCAGCGGUCAAAUGUCGGUGCUCAACACCGGCCUGCCGUUGAAACUGGUCUUCUUGAGUGAGCGAGAAGUAUGCGGAAUGCGUGGUGUAGCGGUGAAAUGCAUAGAUAUCACGCAGAACUCCGAUUGCGAAGGCAGCAUACCGGCGCUCAACUGACGCUGAGGCACGAAAGCGUGGGGAUCGAACAGGAUUAGAUACCCGUGUAGG
rnacentral:rRNA from 1 species